GGUGUCCGUGAAGUCGACGUCCAACAGGCACCAGAUGAUCGGCAAGGUUCCAACUGUUAUCAGAAAAAUAUAAAAAAAAUUCUAAGUCCUACAGUUUUUAAAUUACAGUGACUUAUGUGUUAUCCACGAAAAAGUACACCCUGUGCCAGUCUUUUGACUCUUGUUGCUACAAAUCUUUAUUUUUUCGUCUGCAGUCUUCCUUACAUUAUGCUGAAUAGUGCUCCAGUAAUAUGGAAUCAUAAAUUCUUAGCCAACUGCUUUAGAUUGGAAAACAUUGUUAGUUUUAGAGGAACCAAAUACUCUGAAUAAAAUUUUCACCUUA